rnacentral:rRNA from 1 species
AAAGUGUGGGUAUCAAACAGGAUUAGAUACCCUGGUAGUCCACACGGUAAACGAUGAAUACUCGCUGUUUGCGAUAUACGGCAAGCGGCCAAGCGAAGGCGUUAAGUAUUCCACCUGGGGAGUACGCCGGCAACGGUGAAACUCAAAGGAAUUGACGGGGGCCCGCACAAGCGGAGGAACAUGUGGUUUAAUUCGAUGAUACGCGAGGAACCUUACCCGGGCUUAAAUUGCAGAUGAAUUACGGUGAAAGCCGUAAGCCGCAAGGCAUCUGUGAAGGUGCUGCAUGGUUGUCGUCAGCUCGUGCCGUGAGGUGUCGGCUUAAGUGCCAUAACGAGCGCAACCCUUGUUGUCAGUUACUAACAGGUCAUGCUGAGGACUCUGACAAGACUGCCAUCGUAAGAUGUGAGGAAGGUGGGGAUGACGUCAAAUCAGCACGGCCCUUACGUCCGGGGCUACGCACGUGUUACAAUGGGGGGUACAGAGGGCCGCUACCACGCGAGUGGAUGCCAAUCCCAAAAACCUCUCUCAGUUCGGACUGGAGUCUGCAACCCGACUCCACGAAGCUGGAUUCGCUAGUAAUCGCGCAUCAGCCACGGCGCGGUGAAUACGUUCCCGGGCCUUGUACACACCGCCCGUCAAGCCAUGGGAGCCGGGGGUACCUGAAGUGCGUAACCGCGAGGAGCGCCCUAGGGUA